CUGUAGGGGUAACUGGAAUUCCUGGUGUAGCGGUGAAAUGCGCAGAUAUCAGGAGGAACACCGAUGGCGAAGGCAGGUUACUGGGCAGUUACUGACGCUGAGGAGCGAAAGCAUGGGUAGCGAACAGGAUUAGAUACCCUGGUAGUCCAUGCCGUAAACGGUGGGCGCUAGGUGUGAGGGUCUUUUCACGACUUUCGUGCCGUAGCUAACGCAUUAAGCGCCCCGCCUGGGGAGUACGGCCGCAAGGCUAAAACUCAAAGGAAUUGACGGGGGCCCGCACAAGCGGCGGAGCAUGUGGAUUAAUUCGAUGCAACGCGAAGAACCUUACCUGGGCUUGACAUACACCGGAUCGGGCUAGAGAUAGUCUUUCCCUUUGUGGCUGGUGUACAGGUGGUGCAUGGUUGUCGUCAGCUCGUGUCGUGAGAUGUUGGGUUAAGUCCCGCAACGAGCGCAACCCUUGUCUUAUGUUGCCAGCAUUUGGUUGGGGACUCAUGAGAGACUGCCGGGGUCAACUCGGAGGAAGGUGGGGAUGACGUCAAAUCAUCAUGCCCCUUAUGUCCAGGGCUUCACACAUGCUACAAUGGUCGGUACAACGCGCAGCGACACUGUGAGGUGGAGCGAAUCGCUGAAAGCCGGCCUUAGUUCGGAUUGGGGUCUGCAACUCGACCCCAUGAAGUCGGAGUCGCUAGUAAUCGCAGAUCAGCAACGCUGCGGUGAAUACGUUCCCGGGCCUUGUACACACCGCCCGUCACGUCAUGAAAGUUGGUAACACCCGAAGCCGGUGGCCCAAACUUGUUAGGGAGCCGUCGAAGGUGGGAUCGGCGAUUGGGACGAAGUCGUAACAAGGUACCCGUACCGGAAGGUGCGGGUG
rnacentral:rRNA from 1 species